rnacentral:pre_miRNA from 1 species
UUAGUACUCUCUCCGUCUCAAAAUACUUGUCAUCAAAAUGGAUGAAAAAGAAUGUAUCUAGAACUAAAAUACAUUUAGAUACAUCCCUUUUUAUUCUUUUUGAUGACAAGUAUUUUCGAACGGAGGGAGUAAUUA